rnacentral:lncRNA from 1 species
AACUCAGUGGGAAAAGAGAAAGGUUAAAUUAUUUCUACUUAAUGGGCUGACACUCUACAUUUGAAAGAGGACAGACAUACCAAAUCUGCAUGGGGAAAAGGGUAUAUCGCCAUAGCAGAGGAUCAAAACGAACAAUGAAUCACAAAGUGCAAUAAUGAAAUAAUGAAAUUAUAUGAGUGUAUAUGUAUAUGUAUAUGUAUAUGUAUAUGUAUAUGUAUAUGUAUAUGUAUAUGUAUAUGUAUAUGU